GACAGAGGGUGCAAACGUUGUUCGGAAUUACUGGGCGUAAAGCGCGUGUAGGCGGCUAAGUAAGUCGGGCGUGAAAUCCCACGGCUCAACCGUGGAAGUGCACUCGAAACUGCAUAGCUAGAGUCCUGGAGAGGAAGGUGGAAUUCCUGGUGUAGCGGUGAAAUGCGCAGAUAUCAGGAAGAACACCCGUGGCGAAGGCGGCUCUCUGGGACGGUACUGACGCUGAGACGCGAAAGCGUGGGGAGCGAACAGG
rnacentral:rRNA from 1 species